UACGUAGGGAGCAAGCGUUGUCCGGAAUCAUUGGGCGUAAAGCGCGCGUAGGUGGCCCGGUAAGUCCGCUCUGAAAGUCACAGGCUCAACCUGUGAAAGCGGGUGGAUACUGCCGGGCUAGAGUCCGGAAGAGGCGAGUGGAAUUCCUGGUGUAGCGGUGAAAUGCGUAGAUAUCAGGAGGAACACCAAUAGCGAAGGCAGCUCGCUGGGACGGUACUGACGCUGAGACGCGAAAGCGUGGGGAGCAAACAGG
rnacentral:rRNA from 1 species